rnacentral:rRNA from 1 species
UACGGAGGAUCCAAGCGUUAUCCGGAAUCAUUGGGUUUAAAGGGUCCGUAGGCGGUUUUAUAAGUCAGUGGUGAAAUCCGGCAGCUCAACUGUCGAACUGCCAUUGAUACUGUAGGACUUGAAUUAUUGUGAAGUAACUAGAAUAUGUAGUGUAGCGGUGAAAUGCUUAGAUAUUAACAUGGAAUACCCAUUGCGAAGGCAGGUUACUAACAAUGGAUUGACGCUGAUGGACGAAAGCGUGGGGAGCGAACAGG